rnacentral:rRNA from 1 species
AUUGAACGCUGGCGGCAGGCCUAACACAUGCAAGUCGAGCGGAUGAAGGGGGCUUGCUCCUGGAUUCAGCGGCGGACGGGUGAGUGAUGCCUAGGAAUCUGCCUGGUAGUGGGGGGUAACGUCCGGCAACGGGCGCUAAUACAGCAUACGUCCUGAGGGAGAAAGAGGGGGAGCUUCGGACCUCACGCUAUCAGAUGAGCCUCGGUCGGAUUAGCUAGUUGGUGGGGUAAAGGCCUACCAAGGCGACGAUCCGUAACUGGUCUGAGAGGAUGAGCAGUCACACUGGAACUGAGACACGGUCCAGACUCCUACGGGAGGCAGCAGUGGGGAAUAUUGGACAAUGGGCGAAAGCCUGAUCCAGCCAUGCCGCGUGUGUGAAGAAGGUCUUCGGAUUGUAAAGCACUUUAGUUUGGGAAGAAGGGCUGUACGUUAAUACCUUCGUGUUUUGACGUUACCAACAGAAUAAGCACCGGCUAACUUCGUG